UGCCAGCAGCCGCGGUAAUACGGAGAGGGCAAGCGUUGUUCGGAAUCACUGGGCAUAAAGCGCACGUAGGCGGAUUGGUUAGUCGGUUGUGAAAGCCCGGGGCUCAACCCCGGAACUGCUUCCGAAACUGCCAGUCUGGAGGACGAGAGGGGAGAGCGGAACUUCUGGUGGAGCGGUGAAAUGCGUAGAUAUCAGAAGGAACACCGGUGGCGAAAGCGACUCUCUGGCUCGUUUCUGACGCUGAGGUGCGAAAGCUAGGGGAGCGAACGGGAUUAGAUA
rnacentral:rRNA from 1 species